rnacentral:rRNA from 1 species
AUUGAACGCUGGCGGCAGGCCUAACACAUGCAAGUCGAGCGGAUGAAGGGAGCUUGCUCCUGGAUUCAGCGGCGGACGGGUGAGUAAUGCCUAGGAAUCUGCCUGGUAGUGGGGGAUAACGUCCGGAAAAGGGCGCUAAUACCGCAUACGUCCUGAGGGAGAAAGUGGGGGAUCUUCGGACCUCACGCUAUCAGAUGAGCCUAGGUCGGAUUAGCUGGUUGGUGGGGUGAAGACCUACCAAGGCGACGUCCCGUAACUGGUCUGAGAGGAUGAUCAGUCACACUGGAACUUGGACACGGUCCAGACUCCUACGGGAGGCAGCAGUGGGGAAUAUUGGACAAUGGUCGAAAGCCUGAUCCAGCCAUGCCGCGUGUGUGAAGAAGGUCUUCGGAUUGUAAAGCACUUUAAGUUGGGAGGAAGGGCAGUAAGUUAAUACCUUGCUGUUUUGACGUUACCAACAGAAUAAGCACCGGCUAACUUCGUG